rnacentral:misc_RNA from 1 species
CGCAAUUGCAAGUUUCUUCGUGAGCUGGAUCUUUCUGGUAAUGAUUUAGAUGGAGAAAUUCCCAAUACCCUAUACAAUAUGUCUGACUUAGAAGUUAUUGACCUACAUCAAAACCAACUCAAUGGCAGCAUACCAGAGAGUCUAGGAAACCUCUCAAAACUCCUAGUUCUUAACCUCUCACAAAAUAUUUUUUCAGGGGCAAUCCCAUAUUCCCUUGGAAAUUUGACAAACUUAACAUAUUUUAAUCUCUCCUCCAACAACCUUUCUGGUCCCAUUCCUUUGACACCAAAAAUCCAG